AUCUCUCUCCCGUUCCCCAUUUCAAUUUCUCUUUCCCUCCUCUCUCUCUCUCUCUUCCCAGAUCCGGAUCAACGCCGCCGGUAGGCAACUCGGGCUCCGCCCGAUGCCAAAGCAUGCCGUCAUGAGCAUGCUAUCAGAGGCCAGUGGUAGCGGAUCGAAGCGUGUCGCAACAGAUCGAGGCGGUUGGAUGAGCUCGACCCUAGCACGGUGCGUUGGCGUGAUGAGCCUGCAAGAGCGGCGCCUCGAUCGAUCUCUCUCUAGCCAUCAUCGACAUGGCGGUCUCAUGCACAAGAGUGGUGCUAGACAUGGGUCACAUAGCGACCUCUCCAGACAGGGGUGUUGCGGUGCCCUAGAGCUAGGUGAGACGACAUGGCGGCGCAAACCUCGACGAUCGCCGCGGCAGGUGAUCCGACAACCAAGCGCGAUUGUGGAGAUAUAAAUUGGUGAGAUUGUGGUUGGGAGAUUAGAGAGUAGACAAUGAUAAAAAGAUAAACAUGUCUUGUCAAAAGGGAAAGGGAAUUUGUUGGAGGAUUUCUCCAGCGGGGUGAUGGAGUGCACCCGUGUAAUUCCAGUUUAGAAUGAGUUUGGGGAGGUCAAGGAAUGCCGGAUCAAGAGGCGUAUGAACACGGAAAGCACACAAGGAUUUAGAGUGGUUCAGGUCGCUGGAGCGUAAAACUCUACGUCCACUGUGUGUUGUAUUACUUGUGAGUCUAUGAAACUUGUGUGUUGGUGGACUUGA